rnacentral:pre_miRNA from 1 species
AUAGUGAUCAUCUGGGGAUCUUGUUUAAACAGAUUCUAAUUCGGUAGGCUUGGUGUGGGGCCCAGGACUCUGAAUUUUUAACAGGUGCCCAAGUAAUGCAGGU